AGGUGAUGUGGUACUGACUGGAACGUAGGUACUAGGUGAUGUGGUACUGACUGGAACGUAGGUACUAGGUGAUGUGGUACUGACUGGAACGUAGGUACUAGGUGAUGUGGUACUGACUGGAACAUAGGUGCUGACUGGAACGUAGAUGCUAGGUGAUGUGGUACUGACUGGAACGUAGGUACUAGGUGAUGUGGUACUGACUGGAACGUAGGUACUAGGUGAUGUGGUACUGACUGGAACGUAGAUGUUAGGUGAUGUGGUACUGACUGGAACGUAGGUACUAGGUGAUGUGGUACUGACUGGAACGUAGGUGCUAGGUGAUGUGGUACUGACUGGAACAUAGGUGCUGACUGGAACGUAGAUGCUAGGUGAUGUGGUACUGACUGGAACGUAGGUGCUAGGUGAUGUGGUACUGACU